rnacentral:rRNA from 1 species
UACGUAAAAGACUAGUGUUAGUCAUCUUUAUUAGGUUUAAAGGGUACCUAGACGGUAAAUUAAACCUUAAUAAGGUACUUUUUUUACUAGAGUUUUAUGAGAGAAGGGGAGAACUUUUUGGAGUAGAGAUAAAAUUUUUAUUAUACUAAAAGGACUGAUAAAGGCGAAGGCUGCCUUCUAUGUAAAAACUGACGUUGAGGGACGAAGGCUUGGGUAGCAAUAAGG